rnacentral:tRNA from 1 species
GCCGGGGUGGUGAAAUUGGCAAACACGCUACGUUCAGGUCGUAGUGCUCGUAAGGGCUUGCGGGUUCAAAUCCCGCCCUCGGCACCA